CCCUCUACACUCAGCUCCUUCUCGGUGGUCGUCCCAGCAGGUAGGCCCUCCUCAUCACACCGCUUCCCUCUACACUCAGCUCCUUCUCGGUGGUCGUCCCAGCAGGUAGGCCCUCCUCAUCACACCGCUUCCCUCUACACUCAGCUCCUUCUCGGUGGUCGUCCCAGGAGGUAGGCCCUCCUCAUCACACCGCUUCCCUCUACACUCAGCUCCUUCUCGGUGGUCGUCCCAGCAGGUAGGCCCUCCUCAUCACACCGCUUCCCUCUACACUCAGCUCCUUCUCGGUGGUCGUCCCAGGAGGUAGGCCCUCCUCAUCACACCGCUUCCCUCUACACUCAGCUCCUUCUCGGUGGUCGUCCCAGCAGGUAGGCCCUCCUCAUCACACCGCUUCCCUCUACACUCAGCUCCUUCUCGGUGGUCGUCCCAGCAGGUAGGCCCUCCUCAUCACACCGCUUCCCUCUACACUCAGCUCCUUCUCGGUGGUCGUCCCAGCAGGUAGGCCCUCCUCAUCACACCGCUUCCCUCUACACUCAGCUCCUUCUCGGUGGUCGUCCCAGCAGGUAGGCCCUCCUCAUCACACCGCUUCCCUCUACACUCAGCUCCUUCUCGGUGGUCGUCCCAGGAGGUAGGCCCUCCUCAUCACACCGCUUCCCUCUACACUCAGCUCCUUCUCGGUGGUCGUCCCAGGAGGUAGGCCCUCCUCAUCACACCGCUUCCCUCUACACUCAGCUCCUUCUCGGUGGUCGUCCCAGGAGGUAGGCCCUCCUCAUCACACCGC